GGGAGUAUAGCUCAGUGGUAGAGCAUUUGCCUGGCAUGCAGGAGGCCUUGGGCUGUAUCCCCA
rnacentral:tRNA from 1 species